rnacentral:lncRNA from 1 species
UCCAAGGUACCCCUUCCUCUGUCCCAGGGAAGACAUGAAGAUGAAAGAGAAAAUAGUCCCAAAUUCUAUGCCAUAAAGGUACUCUGUAUCAUCUCUUUUACUUUUAUUUUUUUUAAAUGAGUUCAUUGAAUAUGUCUUAAUCUAGUUAUCUAGAGCUGUUCCAAUGAGCUUGAGCAUUUCCCCAG